UACGUAGGGGGCAAGCGUUACCCGGAUUUACUGGGCGUAAAGGGGGCGUAGGCGGCCUGGUGUGUCGGAUGUGAAAUCCCACGGCUCAACCGUGGGGCCGCAUCCGAAACUACCAGGCUUGGGGGCGGUAGAGGGAGACGGAACUGCCGGUGUAGGGGUGAAAUCCGUAGAUAUCGGCAGGAACGCCGGUGGGGAAGCCGGUCUCCUGGGCCGACCCCGACGCUGAGGCCCGAAAGCCAGGGGAGCAAACCGG
rnacentral:rRNA from 2 species